CUGGUCGGCGCAUAGGAUUCUCCUCUUCCCCAGGCUUCGGUCGCUGCAGCCUGUAGACUUUGUAGAUGAGUAGGAUGUUCUCCAGGUUUCCGGCCAUGGACGGCCUGUCGACUGUCUGACUCGCAGAUCGCGUCGGCCACUUCGCGUUCGCGGGAGCCUGGAGCCGAGCGUCGUCGGCGAAACCAAAGGACACAGGGACAGCCUAGGGAGCUCCCGAGACCUUGCUGAAGGCUUCUUGCUGCCCUGAGCUUCAACUGACCGCAGGAGUUGCCGAUCAUCACAUGAGAAGCGCGACGGUCUGCUGGAUUCGCGGCCAUAGGCUGGAACCGAGUCAGGUCAUGGGAGUCCUGGCUGACUGAGCCCUGCAUGAUGUCUCCAGAACCGGUGUUCGCGCUUCUGGGUCCAGCCUCUAUCUUGAGUAACUUCAAGCUUGAAGCAUCCAUCUUUUGGAGUCGAGAAGAAACACCCGGAGAAGCUGAAUUGCAAAGAGCAAUGCGUACCUGGACCUGGAGGCGCCGUGCCCCUGGCUCCCUGAUCACCACCACCGCGUCGUCUCGCCGUG